CUCGGGGGGCGCCGUCUGCAACUACAACGGCAUCGGCUGCUGGAACAUGCAGGAGUCCCGCGUCCUCUCGCUGUCGCUCUCCGGGUUCGGCCUCGUCGGCUCCAUCCCCUCCUCGCUCCAGUACUGCCGCGCCGCCACCACGCUCGACCUCUCCAGCAACGCGCUCGCCGGCACCAUCCUCCCGGCGCUCUGCGACUGGCUCCCCUUCCUCGUCACCCUCGACCUCUCCUCCAACCAGCUCACCGGCCCGAUCCCCGCCGAGCUCGCCAACUGCCGCUUCCUCAACACGCUCAGGCUCUCCGGGAACCAGCUCUCCGGCCAGAUCCCCGCCUCCCUCGCGCGGCUCGACCGCCUCAAGACGCUCGACCUCUCGGGGAACAGGCUCGACGGCCAGAUCCCGUCCCAGCUCGGCGACAACUUCUCCAAGGACUCCUUCUCGGGGAACUCGGGGCUCUGCGGCCGCCCCGUGUCCUCGCGCUGCGGCCGCGGGCUGGGGAGCACCGGC
rnacentral:lncRNA from 1 species